rnacentral:rRNA from 1 species
GACGAACGCUGGCGGCGUGCUUAACACAUGCAAGUCGAACGGAAAGGCCCUGCUUUUGUGGGGUGCUCGAGUGGCGAACGGGUGUGUAUCACGUGAGUAACCUGCCCUUGACUUUGGGAUAACUUCAGGAAACUGGGGCUAAUACCGGAUAGGAGCUCCUGCUGCAUGGUGGGGGUUGGAAAGUUUCGGCGGUUGGGGAUGGACUCGCGGGUUAUCAGCUUGUUGGUGGGGUAGUUGCUUACCAAGGCUUUGACGGGUAGCCGGCCUGAGAGGGUGACCGGGCACAUUGGGCCUGAGAGAGGGCCCAGACUCGAACGGGAGGCAGCAGUGGGGAAUCUGGCACAAUGGGCGCAAGUCUGAUGCGGCAACGCCGCGUGCGGGAUGACGGCUUUCGGGUUAUAAACAGCUGUCGCCGGUGACGAAGAGGGAGUGACGGUAAUGGGUAAAGAAGCACCGGCUAACUACGUG